CCUACGGUGGGCAGCAGUAGGGAAUUUUUCGCAAUGGGCGAAAGCCUGACGCAGCAACGCCGCGUGAACGAGACGCCCUUCGGGGUUUAAAGUUCUGUCAGUUGGGACGAAAAAUGACGGUACCCACAGAGGAAGCACCGGCUAACUCCGUGCCAGCAGCCGCGGUAAUACGGAGGGUGCAAGCGUUGUCCGGAAUCAUUGGGCGUAAAGAGGUCGUAGGCGGCAUGUAAAGUCAGUUGUUAAAGGCGGAGGCUCAACCUGUGUAUGGCAUUUGAUACUGGCAAGGUGGAAGGCGGUAGAGGUAAAGGGAAUUCCUGGUGUAGCGGUGAAAUGCUUAGAGAGCAGGAGGAACAUCGGUGGCGUAAGCGCUUUACUGGGCCGUAAUUGACGCUGAGGAACGAAAGCCAGGGUAGCAAAUGGGAUUAGAUACCCGUGUAGUC
rnacentral:rRNA from 1 species